UUGUGAUCCUCCUGCCUCAGCCUCCCGAAUGCUGGGAUUAUAGAUGUGCACUAUCACACUCGGCUUAAAUCAUAAAUUUUUGCAUUAAGAUCUGCUUCUGAUUUUUGUGCAGUGAAGAAGCCUGGCCAGUCUGCAUGUGUCCCCAGGGCAGCCAUCAGCAGAUGGAACCAAGUCAUGACUGCCUGGCUGAUGCUGAGCUCCUUGUGUCUGUAGGGCCACCAUGUGGGGCUUCAGCCAGCCGGGCAGCAACCCCACACCCUGGUUCUGCAGGGCCCGGUGGGGCUUCUGGCUCCUGUUUGGGUCUGGGACAGGCCGAGCCCAGCCUGCCGGGUGCACAGCCUUCCUGGGACAUAGUGGCGGAGGCAGGAGCCCCAGGCAGACAGGACCCGUCCUCGGGUGCUCUCGGAGCUUCCGUGUCUGACCCCUGCCCCGCCAGCCAGGCCCUGCUUUCCCCGCUCUGUAUUAAGAAAACAAGGACAUUUUUUUUUUCAAAUAUGGAAAAAAAUUGAAUGUGCUUUUUCAAGCUGUGUACUCGCUGUCUUUUCACAAGGAGGACACAGAUGGAGACACACACACCAGCUCACACACACACAGGCACAAGUGCACACAUACGGGAAACGACCCAGCACACGGAGGGGCAGGGACAUGCACACUGACACGGGGCUGUGCACACUCACAGACCCACAUACUGCGACACAGAUGCUCACCGAGGCCUCGCUCAUGGACGUGCAGGGAUGGUGCCACACAGAAGUACGCUCACACGGACACCCACACUCAACACGCCCCACUCCACAAGACGUGGUGACAUGUGCACACAUGAGGCACACAGCGGAGGUGUGUAGGCACCUACAGCAGAGCGCUCACACGGGAACACAUGGGACAGCCACCCAUGCAUGGACACACAUGCGUGCCUACCAGGACGCACAUGGCUACACAUGCCUGCCAGUGCACGUGAGCACUCACCCAGACACCAGGGCUCACACACGCAUGUGUGCUGGGGCACUCAGGCCCGAGAUGCACACACACGGGGAUGCUACUGGGCUGUGGCCUCCCCUGGGGAUCACAGGGCCUUAGGGGAGCCUCUACCCCCACCCCAUGCUGUUGCAGGCCACAGGAAAGCAGGCAGGCUCACUCGCUCAUUUUGCUACUCCAUCCCAGCCAGAACUUGGGUUUUGUUUGGUGCGAAUCUCACCAAACAAAAUCCCCAGCCCCCUGGGCUUGAAUUUGUGAAUUUGGAUGCUGCGGGCAGCGGAAGCUGUGGCCGGGAUCCUCUGCGGGUUCUAUUCAGCCCUUUGCCCUGCCGUCCCAACUGGUAAUUUGGCCUGGGGUGCUCAUCCUCGGCUGUGUUGGCACUGGGGGUUGGAUAAUUCUUUGCUGGGUGGGGGGGGGGCGGCCCGGUAUGUUAUAGGACGUUCCACAGAUUCCCUCAUCACUUCCUCAUGCCACCAGUACCUCCCCACUCCAGCGUGACAACCAAAAAUGUCUGCAGACAUUACCAGCAUCCCUGUCCCCCGUUAGCCCAGGGGUGCGGCUCUCCAUCCUGGGUGUGCAUCACGGACCUCUGGGGGUUAUGGACCCUCAGAUUCCCCUGCUCACUGGUGCAGAGCCGCUCACCAGCCUGCGGUGGUGUCUGUCCCCAGCCACUGCUGCAGUCCCCCAGAAGCAGCCCCAGCGCAGUCCUUGGCCUCUCAGCCCUGGUGCACAACCUCUGUGCCGCUCUGAACAGGCCCUGCGGGCAGCCGCCAGGGAUCAGCUCCCUCGUGAGGAUCCUCGGCGAGGCGGUGGGUGCAGACUGUGUCUUCCGGAAGCCCUCGGACGCCAGCCAGCAGUCUGCGCUCUCCCACCUCUACAAAGCCUCCGUGGAGGACGCCGAGAUCCGCAUCCACGCCUACCUGCCCUGAUGCGGUGCCCCAGGGAGGAGGUGUUCGCCGUGGUGCGGAGGACGCAGGCGGACAAGCAGUCCACUCAGGUGGGUUCCUUCGUAUGGAGUCACCUCCUGCAGCUGCUGGAGACAGCCGACCCCCUGAAGCGCUGGCUCCAGGACGCCCUCCCCCAGGACAUCCUCAGCCGGGAGUUCCACCCCAAGACCUGGAAACACUCAUCCUACUCUGAUGUCACCUUCCGCUCAGGGUCCGGCAGCCUGGGAGCCACCCUGGGGAGGACGCUGCUCUUCUCUCCCGCCUCCUUCCUUUCCCGAUCUGCCGUGGUAAACCUGACCGUCCGUGCUGUGGACCGGGCCUUCAACGUCCUGGAACUGGGGCUCCGACUAGAAAACGCAGAGGAAAUCGCCCACAGGCUGUUCUUUGGCCCGAAGUCACACUGGGGACAGGAAGAGGACACAGAGAUGCACGGAGAUAAGCCCCCAGGCCCAGGGCCCGCGUCAGCCAGCCCUGAGUGUCCAGGAGAAAGAUCCAGAAAGAUGAGAGACCUGCAGCAGAAGCCUGUGCUGCAGGUACCCGAGAGGCAGGUGGACUGCCGUGCACACCAGCACCACUCAAGCCUGAGCUGGCCACACAGGAAGGCAGCACCCAUCUGAAGGUGCAGCGCAGUGGGUGGCCACCCCUUGUGGCCGGUCUGCGGUGGACGGACUCGUCCCAGGCCACCCUGUGGAGACGGGAAGGAGCCAUGAACUUGGACAGUCCUUGGCUCAGAUUGUCCUGGCCCCACCCAGCCACUCUGCAGGCUGUGCUGGAGCUGACCCUGGGCAAGGCAUGGACCCUCAGGGACCUGGUGGUCAGCGUGGCGUGCAGGAGCCAGGGCCUCCUCAGGGAAGGCAUGAUCCAGGUGUACACCAGGAGCACUACCUACCUCCGGGUUUCCAUGGUGACAGCCACGGUACCAAGCCUCUUCCACAGCUGGAUGGAACUUG